rnacentral:rRNA from 1 species
AAUGAACGUUGGCGGUGUGCUUAACACAUGCAAGUCGAGCGUGAAAGUUCUUCGGAAUGAGUAAAGCGGCGGACGGGUGAGUAACGCGUGAGGAUCUACCCUUCAGUGAAGGAUACCCUUGAGAAAUUAAGGUUAAUACUGCAUACGUCCACUAUUAACAUAGUGGAGAAAGAUGGCCUCUUGCUGUCGCUGAAAGAUGAACUUGCGUUCUAUUAGCUAGUUGGUGGGGUAAAGGCUCACCAAGGCGAUGAUGGAUAGCCGGCCUGAGAGGGUGAUCGGCCACAUUGGAACUGAGAAACGGUCCAGACUCCUACGGGAGGCAGCAGUGGGGAAUAUUGGACAAUGGGCGAAAGCCUGAUCCAGCAAUACCGCGUGAAUGAUGAAGGCCUUAGGGUUGUAAAGUUCUUUUAGUUGGAAAGAUAAUGACGGUACCAACAGAAAAGCCCCGGCUAACUCCGUG